rnacentral:tRNA from 1 species
GGAUGGGUGGCAGAGCGGUCGAUUGCGACGGUCUUGAAAACCGUUGAAGCAGCAAUGCUUCCGGGGGUUCGAAUCCCUCCCCAUCCGCCA